rnacentral:snRNA from 1 species
GGACGUGAGGGAGACCUACCUGCCAUACCCGUCACCCCACUGACCACCACAUUUGACUUAGCUGAUCUGGCAGGCUAGGCAGCUGUCCCCUUCCUCCCUCACCUCCGUGUGCAUCCCUCCUGAAGCUGCACGCUGGGUCCAAGAGGACCGCCUCCCUGGGAUGGAGACUCAGUGGUCCUCGGUCCAGGGCAUACAAGUAGUUGCGCUCCCCUGCUAGAACAUCCAAACAAGCUCUCAAGGGCAAUAAAAAAACAUGUAGCAGUGUUUACUAUGUGUAAGACUUUCUAAAAGGUGAGAAAAUAGAAAUCUUAGUUUAAAUGUGUCU